UCAGGCUCUUGGGCUCUUGGCGCCU
rnacentral:piRNA from 1 species